rnacentral:rRNA from 1 species
UACGGGGGGGGGCAAGCGUUGUUCGGAAUUACUGGGCGUAAAGGGUGCGUAGGCGGCCACGUAAGUGAGAUGUGAAAUCCCUCGGCUCAACCGAGGAAGUGCAUUUCAUACUGCAUGGCUUGAGGGAGACAGGGGUAAGCGGAACUGAUGGUGGAGCGGUGAAAUGCGUUGAUAUCAUCAGGAACACCGGUGGCGAAAGCGGCUUACUGGGUCUCUUCUGACGCUGAGGUACGAAAGCUAGGGGAGCGAACGGG